GAUGAACGCUGGCGGCGUGCCUAAUACAUGCAAGUCGAGCGAACAGACGAGGAGCUUGCUCCUUCGACGUUAGCGGCGGACGGGUGAGUAACACGUAGGUAACCUACCUAUAAGACUGGGAUAACUUCGGGAAACCGGAGCUAAUACCGGAUAAUAUUUCGAACCGCAUGGUUCGAUAGUGAAAUAUGGCUUUUCUAUCACUUAUAGAUGGACCUGCGCCGUAUUAGCUAGUUGGUAAGGUAACGGCUUACCAAGGCAACGAUACGUAGCCGACCUGAGAGGGUGAUCGGCCACACUGGAACUGAGACACGGUCCAGACUCCUACGGGAGGCAGCAGUAGGGAAUCUUCCGCAAUGGGCGAAAGCCUGACGGAGCAACGCCGCGUGAGUGAUGAAGGUCUUCGGAUCGUAAAACUCUGUUAUUAGGGAAGAACAAACGUGUAAGUAACUGUGCACGUCUUGACGGUACCUAAUCAGAAAGCCACGGCUAACUACGUG
rnacentral:rRNA from 1 species